CACCCUCAGGAGCGCUCUGGCUACACACAGUGUCUGCUGCUCAUACUCUGCGUAUGUGAUGUCAUGCCACCCAUCUGCCCGCUUCACACACAGUGCCACCUUCUGACUGUACUGCUUCACUGCUUGGGCAAAGAACUGGGGUACUGUGACCGGUGGGCGAAUGUCUGGGUCAUGUUUUGUCCUCAGCUGGACUGCCCCAUCCCUCCGCACAGUCCAUAGUUUAUCCGCUGGGGCCAGAGACCAAUCAGUGUCUGAAACAAAUUGUUCAGCUCAGAAUCAGGAAUGCUGGAUAAUGGACCAGUGAUGGGCAUGUACCACAAGGUCUGACACCUACCCCUGCAGUGCUAGAAACCUGAACAACCUGGCACUGAAAAUCUGUAUAUGUACACUGAAGAUCUGUAUGAUAAACACAUAAAAAAAAAAA